GACGAACGCUGGCGGCGUGCUUAACACAUGCAAGUCGAACGGAAAGGCCCUGCUUUUGUGGGGUGCUCGAGUGGCGAACGGGUGAGUAACACGUGAGUAACCUGCCCUUGACUUUGGGAUAACUUCAGGAAACUGGGGCUAAUACCGGAUAGGAGCUCCUGCUGCAUGGUGGGGGUUGGAAAGUUUCGGCGGUUGGGGAUGGACUCGCGGCUUAUCAGCUUGUUGGUGGGGUAGUGGCUUACCAAGGCUUUGACGGGUAGCCGGCCUGUGAGGGUGACCGGCCACAUUGGGACUGAGAUACGGCCCAGACUCGUACGGGAGGCAGCAGUGGGGAAUAUUGCACAAUGGGCGGAAGCCUGAUGCAGCAACGCCGCGUGCGGGAUGACGGCCUUCGGGUUGUAAACCGCUUUCGCCUGUGACGAAGCGUGAGUGACGGUAAUGGGUAAAGAAGCACCGGCUAACUACGUG
rnacentral:rRNA from 1 species